rnacentral:lncRNA from 1 species
UGAGAACGGAUAUAUAUAUAUAUAUAUCAAGUGGCAUGGAAUCCAUAUCCAUAUUAUCAGAAUCUAUAAAGGAGCUAGCCACUACUAACAAGAUUCACAGUAUAGUAUUAAGUGGUCAUACGCAUACAUGCAAGUAGUACUCCUACUACUAGCUACUUUUGUUAUAUUCUUAUUCUAUGUACUGAUCACUCCUAGCAACUAAACUUUUAACUAAAAAUCUCGAUCUCUUAUAUAAAGGCAGCUAAUUAACAGGCAACCCUUGGUAUCAGCAGAAUUGAAUCCAAAUUGAUGAUUGCUUCUUCGAUUCUUCAUGGCUCAGAUAGAUGAGCUUGAGGUGCAGACAGAGAUCAAGUCCAGCCCUGACAAGUUUUAUGGCUUCUUGAAAAACAAUAUCAAGGGCCUGGCCAAUAUCUUUCCUCAACGUAUUACUAGUGUUGAAUUACUUGAAGGAGAGGAAGGCUCUGCAGGCUCUGUCCAGAAUUUUAAAUAUGUAAUUGGUAAGAAUAUUGAUAUAUAUACUUAUAACACUAGCUAACUAACUAGUUGUAGCAUUAUAUAUAUAUAUGUUUACUUUGCGAUGAACGUUGUAUAUAUCGUACUAUAUACUUAUUACAAAGAAACCGUAUCUAUAUACGCUUACUUCACAACGUGCAAUUAAUCUUUUUUUAUUUUAGUUCAACAUUACAAUUACUGCAGCUCUAGCUAGUUGACUUGUUACUAAAAACAUAUAUAUGUGUGUAUAUAUAUAUAUAUAUAUAUAUAUAUAUAUAUAUAUAUAUAUAUAUAUAUAAAGCCUAGUUAUUUAUUUCAGCAGGUUGUGAUCGCUAGAUUUAAUAUCCUAAUUUUCUUAAGGUUGCUGAAUUCCAAAAAAGAAUAAAAGAAAGAAAAGGAACUCUUGUUACCCAAAGAUGGAGAUCAUCUAACAUUACCCCUCGGUUCAUAACAACCUAGUGUGUAAGGCGCCCUUCCAUAUGUAUAAUAAAUUAAUGGCUAUUAAUAUCAAAAAAAUCUCUUGUGGUACAUGAUUAAUAAAUCCAUGUAUUAUAUAUGACGUGUAAGACAUAAUCACAUAUAUAAAGAAGUUCAUCAAUAUUAAUAUUGAUUUAAAAUUUUAUUACUAUUCAUGUACUUAUUAAUUACUUCUCUCUCAAUUAUUUCAUCUUGAUGAGAUUAUUUAGGGAUAAAAUAGGAAAUAAAAAUAUAUAUUUUUAAAAUAUAUGUAAAACGUCUUAUAUUAUGGGGAAAAAAAUUCCUUCUAAACCAUCAUAUAUAUAUAUAUAUAUAUAUAUAUAUAUAUAGAGCCGUUUAAAAACGGACUGAAUAAGCGGACUAAAGAACGGACCAAAGCAACAACGAGCCGAAGCAAAAAAAACAUGCGGGUUGAGUUUUGGGUCGAAAAAAUACGCGGGUUGAGCUUUGGGUCGAAAAAACACGCAGGUUGAAAUAAAACCAAAGCAAAGAUCAGAUGCAAAACUUUCAUUUUCUCUCUCCAACUUUUCCCUCCCUCUCCCCUCUUUCAUAGGAUAUCGGUAGCAGACGGAAGAGUUAAGGUAAAGGCCAACGAAAGGUCUCCAUAGCAAACGGAUCGAAAGGUAAAGUUCCAUAAUUUUAUUGGGUUUGUAAUUUUUGUUUAUCGCGUUAAAAAUCUAGGGUUUGUUCUUUACUUUCUGACCCUUAAAGAGUCUCAUCUUCGUCGUUGGGAGAGUCAGUGGCGUCGGCGUCGAUAACAGAUAUCGUACAACUCGUGGCCCGCCGGUAUUCAGUUCGGUCAUCUUCGUCUUCUUUCCGGAGAUACCUUCUGUCGUCGUAGUUUGUAUUUUGUGCCUUGAUAGAGUCGUCUGUCUAAUACAGGAGAUACUAAGGUGUGUCUCUUUGAUGUUAUAACAAGAAUAUGUUUUGUUUUCAUGAUUAUUGGAAUUUUAUGAUCUUCUAGUUCUACUGCUGCUGUAAUUAUUUUUCUUGUUAAAUGUGUUACUGAUAAAUACUCCCUCUUUUCCUUUUUAAUUGAUGUCUUAAGACUAAGCACAAGAAAUGUAAUUAAUGCUUUAUCUAAUUUAAUAAAUUGGGUAUAAACUAUCAAUUAUCACCCUUCUAAAAUUUAUUAGCAAGAUGAGAGAAAAGAUGGAAAGUUAUCCCAUUAGAGUAAAUUAGUUCAAAAGAUGAGAGGGAAACAAAUUUGUAUUAAUAAUUAGGGAUAUAUAUAUAAGAAUCUACAAACCACAUAUAAAAAGGAACAAAAAUUUCUCUUAAAAAAGACAAUUGAAAAGGAACAGAGAGAGUGCUUUUAAUUUGUGUCGGAAAAUUCUAUAUAUGUUUGCCUUAAAAUUAUGAGCAAUAAAUGGAGAGUUCUUCCUUUGAUGAUAAUAAACUACUGUAGCCAUAUCCUCUCAUUCAACUAAAUGAUAAUAAAUGGAGAAUUCUAUACAUGUUUGCUUUUAGAUGGUGAUUUUUGUCUAUUGUUUUAGUUUUCAGGUUCUACAUUUUUUGGUUUUUGUGUGACCUGUCACAUUCUAUGGCGUCUUAAUUGUAAUACUAGCUUUUUGGGGGUACCAGGUAAAAGAAUGCUAAUAAAACAUAUAUAUAAAGUAAGGGCUGCAUAGAUGCAACUAUGGGUAGUUGCUUAAGUAGUCCUUAUGUAACGAAUCAUAUGCUUUCAUUAAAUUAAGGCACAUUUAGAUGUUCUUGAUCUUUAUAGUAAUUGUUAAAAGUGAUACUUUCAUUAUCCUGUAUUGAACUCUAAUUUCAUUUUUCUUUCACCUGUACAUCCAUUUAUUGUGCCAAUAUCUGCACAUGCUUAUUGUUUUAGAGCUUGCUUGCCGUAUUUCCUAACCUAUAAGCUUGAUGAUGCAGAAUUUGUAUAAUUCAAAAGUCAGGAAAGUGGUGGUGGCACUAAUUCAAGGUCAGUGCAGUAUAGAUUUUUGUGAAAGGGAAAAUUAGCAGCUUAUGAUGUAACAUUCCAUAUUUUUUGAAAGAUUUUGUUGGCAAAUAAUGGUACAAAGUUUUUUUUAUUGUUAUUUUGUUGUCUUUUCUCAUAGUUUCAUAUAAUAUCUGAAUUUACACGUCUUUUUUUAUGAUGUAAUGUUUUGGUAAAAUUGCAUAGCAAGAAAAUUAGUGUACGACAACAAGACAGGUAAUUUUGUCUUUGAUGGAUGCUAAAUAAUUUCAUUUUGUUUUGCCAUCAUUUAAUUCGUCUAUUCUAUUGAAAAUGGAUUUAGAAAGUUGGGUAUAACUCCUGAAGAUCAAAAGAAGUUCAGCCAUAAUGUAGUAUACUUUUUCUUUUGGAAAAGCAACUACCAAUCUCAUACUUAAUUCUUGUCCCUAAAAGAUUGAAGCACAAUCUUUAUAAUUGUGCUUUAUAAAUUAUAAGUAUCAAACACACAAG